ACGCUCGACACCUACUGGAGGCAGCAGUGGGGAAUAUUGCACAAUGGGGGAAACCCUGAUGCAGCGACGCCGCGUGAGCGAAGAAGUAUUUCGGUAUGUAAAGCUCUAUCAGCAGGGAAGAAGAAAGACGGUACCUGACUAAGAAGCCCCGGCUAACUACGUGCUAGCAGCCGCGGUAAUCUGAGCGGGCUGGCAAGGC
rnacentral:rRNA from 1 species